rnacentral:rRNA from 1 species
AUUGAACGCUGGCGGCCGGCCUAACACAUGCAAGUCGAACGAGUGGCGGACGGGUGAGUAAUGUCUGGGAAACUGCCCGAUGGAGGGGGAUAACUACUGGAAACGGUAGCUAAUACCGCAUACCAUCGGAUGUGCCCAGAUGGGAUUAGCUAGUAGGUGGGGUAACGGCUCACCGAGGCGACGAUACCUAGCUGGUCUGAGAGGAUGACAAGCCACACUGGAGCUGAGACACGGUCCAGACUCCGAGGGGAGGCAGCGGUGGGGAGUAUUGCACAAUGGGCGCAAGCCUUAUGCAGACAUGCCGCGUGUAUGAAGAAGGCCUUCGGGUUGUAAAGUACUUUCAGCGAGGAGGCGUUACUCGCAGAAGAAGCACCGGCUAACUCCGUGACAGCAGCCGCGGUAAUUC